AACGAACGCUGGCGGCAGGCUUAACACAUGCAAGUCGAACGCCCCGCAAGGGGAGUGGCAGACGGGUGAGUAACGCGCGGGAAUCUACCCAGAUCUUCGGAACAACACAGGGAAACUUGUGCUAAUACCGGAUACGCCCUACGGGGGAAAGAUAUAUCGGAUUUGGAUGAGCCCGCGUUGGGUUAGCCCGUUGGUGGGGUAAUGGCCCAACAAGGCUACGAAUCAUAUCUGGUCUGAGAGGAUGAUCAACCACACUGGGUCGGAGACACGGCCCAGACUCGGACGAGAGGCAGCAUUGGGGAAUAUUGGACAAUGGGGGAAAGCCUGACCCAACCAUGCCGCGUGAGUGAUGAAGGCCUUACGGUUGUAAAGCUCUUUUAGUGGGGAAGAUAAUGACGGUACCCACAGAAAAAGCCCCGGCUAACUUCGUGCCAGCAGCCGCCGUAA
rnacentral:rRNA from 1 species